UACGUAGGGUGCAGGCGUUAAUCGGAAUUACUGGGCGUAAAGCGUGCGCAGGCGGUCUAUUAAGACAGGUGUGAAAUCCCCGGGCUUAACCUGGGAACUGCGCUUGUAACUGAUAGGCUUGAGUGUGGCAGAGGGGGGUGGAAUUCCACGUGUAGCAGUGAAAUGCGUAGAGAUGUGGAGGAACACCGAUGGCGAAGGCAGCCCCCUGGGCUAACACUGACGCUCAUGCACGAAAGCGUGGGGAGCAAACAGG
rnacentral:rRNA from 1 species